rnacentral:snRNA from 1 species
GCAUGUGAGGGCGAUCUGGCUGCAACAAUGUCACCCCAUUGAUUGCGCAUCCCUUCAGAAGGGACGCACAGGGGGCAGUGAGGGAGCUGGUUCGACUGCUCUUGCUGCUCUGGCUACUUAAGUGAAUCUCCCUUCCUCCCUCACUGCUCCGUGAGUGUCCCUCCUGACGGUCACGCUGGGUCAAAGGGGAGGACCACUUCCAGUGAGGAGGGCUUGGCUCUGGGCAAGGGUAAACAAGAGGCUGCCCUCCCCUGCUAGAACCCCCAAAGAAGCUCUCAAGGAAAUACAGGACCACAAGAUAAGCUUCCUCUCCAUUUUUUUGUCAGUGGAUAGCGGCAAAU